AAGGCAAAACCAGUCCUUGAAGAAAAGGAACCCAAAAUUAAUAAAGAAAAGCCAAAGCCAGCACCAAAGAAAGAAGCUGUCAUCAAAGAAGCUAAACCAGCCCCCGUGAAGGAAGAGGCUGAAACCAUCAAGGAAAAAGCUAAACCAGCUCCUGAGAAGAAAG